rnacentral:rRNA from 1 species
CCUACGGGAGGCUGCAGUGGGGAAUAUUGCACAAUGGGCGCAAGCCUGAUGCAGCCAUGCCGCGUGUGUGAAGAAGGCCUUCGGGUUGUAAAGCACUUUCAGCGGGAAGGAAGGCGUUAAGGUUAAUAACCUUGGCGAUUGACGUUACCCGCAGAAGAAGCACCGGCUAACUCCGUGCCAGCAGCCGCGGUAAUACGGAGGGUGCAAGCGUUAAUCGGAAUUACUGGGCGUAAAGCGCACGCAGGCGGUCUGUCAAGUCGGAUGUGAAAUCCCCGGGCUCAACCUGGGAACUGCAUUCGAAACUGGCAGGCUAGAGUCUUGUAGAGGGGGGUAGAAUUCCAGGUGUAGCGGUGAAAUGCGUAGAGAUCUGGAGGAAUACCGGUGGCGAAGGCGGCCCCCUGGACAAAGACUGACGCUCAGGUGCGAAAGCGUGGGGAGCAAACAGGAUUAGAUACCCGAGUAGUC